UCCAGGAAUAUAUAAAAUCGAGCAGCGGUUUCUACUUUGUCGGCUAUAUGCCGCCGCUAUGUAUCAUAGGGACAGUGCGGGCCUCCAGCUUCCCACUCAGAGGUGCAAUCCCUGAUACGUUCAGAGCUUACUAUUCGCAAAGCAUUCGCCAAGACAGUUUUCACUAAUCAGGACCGAAGUUAGGCGGUCGUAGAUCGAUCAGAAUCCGUCGGUAGUUCUUAACCACAUAUAUGCCGCAUACGGAUCCGACGGUGUUAUUUCAUGACCGUUCGCCCCUUCGAGAAAUCAAAGUGCCUGGCUCCAGGGGAAGUAUGUUGCAAGGCUGAAACUUAAAGGAAAUGACGGAAAGGGCACCCAGGGGGUGGAGCCUGCGGCUUAAUUUGACUCAACACGGGGAAACUCACCAGGUCCAGACACAAUAAGGAUUGACAGAUUGAGAGCUCUUUCUUGAUUUUGUGGGUGGUGGUGCAUGGCCGUUCUUAGUUGGUGGGGUGACUUGUCUGCUUAAUUGCGAUAACGAACGAGACCUUAACCUGCUAAAUAGCCCCGCAUUGCUCCGGCAGUGCGCUGGCUUCUUAGAGGGACUUUCCGCUCAAGCCGAAGGAAGUUUGAGGCAAUAACAGGUCUGUGAUGCCCUUAGAUGUUCUGGGCCCGCACGCGCGCUACACUGACGGGGUCAGCGAGUUCCUUGGCCGAAAGGCCCGGGUAAUCUUGUUAGCCCCCGUCGUGCUGGGGAUAGAGCAUUGCAAUUAUUGCUCUUCGACGAGGAAUCCCUAGUAAGCGCAAGUCAUCAGCUUGCGUUGAUUACGUCCCUGCCCUUUGCACUCACCGCCCGUC
rnacentral:rRNA from 1 species